CCUUUUGAAAAACGGUUGCAUACUUGCCGUCUCAAAACCGUUUUAAAAUAGAUCUUAAAAAACGACUACAGAAAUUAGAGCUCAUAUUUGCUGUCUCAAAGAUGACUGCUAUUAGAUGUCUAAUAAUUAUCUGAAUUUAGACGUCUAAAAAGUGUAAACAUUUUAGAUUCUAAUAAAGACGUGUUUACUUAUAAUAAGUACUUUUAUUGUUUCUCAAAUUCGAAUUCUGAUAAAAUUAGAUUCUCUGCUUUGGUCAGUUUUAUGUUUAAACAUGAAAUGAAAACUUGUUUUUUUUUUGUGAUUGUUUCAAUGACAAUGAUGAAGAUUCUCUUAAAGAUAAGAAAGCACUCAAAGGUGUAAGAGUUAGGUGUAAAAGUUAGUUAUUUUGUAAGUAAAUUUAGUAAUUAAUUCUUGAAAUUUGAUUUUAAAGAAGGAUUUUUAUUUAUUUAAUAAUAAUAAAAAAAUAUAUAUAUAUAAUUUUAAAUUUGGGAGUAAUGGCAUAUGGCGCCAACAAUUGCAUAAACAGAAAAUUCGGUUAUCACCAUUACAAUGACAAACUAAGAUUAGAUACAUUGCACUUUAAAACUUCUAUUUGUAUCAUUCAAAUCUUUUUAAAAUUAUUUCUUGUAGGUAUUUAUUUACUGCUCAAAAGAAUUUUUAACUUUAUCCAGAGUUGUUUGUUGCUUAGCCUUAGUUAAACCACUUAUAUUGAGUAACAAAUUUAAGAUAACCAUCGCACAUAAUGAGUGUUUUUUAUAAUUUAUUACUUUGUUAAAUAUUAAAA